AGCGGACAGAUGGGAGCUUGCUCCCUGAUGUUAGCGGCGGACGGGUGAGUAACACGUGGGUAACCUGCCUGUAAGACUGGGAUAACUCCGGGAAACCGGGGCUAAUACCGGAUGGUUGUUUGAACCGCAUGGUUCAGACAUAAAAGGUGGCUUCGGCUACCACUUACAGAUGGACCCGCGGCGCAUUAGCUAGUUGGUGAGGUAACGGCUCACCAAGGCGACGAUGCGUAGCCGACCUGAGAGGGUGAUCGGCCACACUGGGACUGAGACACGGCCCAGACUCCUACGGGAGGCAGCAGUAGGGAAUCUUCCGCAAUGGACGAAAGUCUGACGGAGCAACGCCGCGUGAGUGAUGAAGGUUUUCGGAUCGUAAAGCUCUGUUGUUAGGGAAGAACAAGUGCCGUUCAAAUAGGGCGGCACCUUGACGGUACCUAACCAGAAAGCCACGGCUAACUACGUGCCAGCAGCCGCGGUAAUACGUAGGUGGCAAGCGUUGUCCGGAAUUAUUGGGCGUAAAGGGCUCGCAGGCGGUUUCUUAAGUCUGAUGUGAAAGCCCCCGGCUCAACCGGGGAGGGUCAUUGGAAACUGGGGAACUUGAGUGCAGAAGAGGAGAGUGGAAUUCCACGUGUAGCGGUGAAAUGCGUAGAGAUGUGGAGGAACACCAGUGGCGAAGGCGACUCUCUGGUCUGUAACU
rnacentral:rRNA from 1 species